rnacentral:misc_RNA from 1 species
AAGUCGUAACAAGGUCUCCGUUGGUGAACCAGCGGAGGGAUCAUUACCGAGUUUUCAACUCCCAAACCCUAUGUGAACUUACCACACCGUUGCUUCGGCGCGCGCUCGUCGCCGCCGAGGACGUUAAACUCUGUCUUGUAUAAGCAUCUCUGAGUGGCCGAAAGGCAAAAAACAAAUGAAUCAAAACUUUCAACAACGGAUCUCUUGGUUCUG